CUGAGCAGUUAUCCACUGGACAAAAAGCCGAAAAGAUCAGAGGUGCUGUACUGUCUCCACUGAAGAUUACAUUUUAUCAGUGGAAAAGACUAACUUCAAAGGUAAAGAUUGCCAGAAGUAAACAGAAAAGUUGCAGCAUAAAGAGUAAGUGGAAAGAAGGUUUGUUAGAAGAAAGGAUCAGCGGAAAAAACAGGAUUGGUGGUUGGUUGGUGGAGGCAGCAGGGAUGUGCAGUGUGGGUGGUACACGUAGAGCUGAGCUGGACUGUAGCGUCCUGGAGGAGGACUGGCAGCGAGGACAGAGCUACACGGCUCACUGGCACAGCCUCACCCUCUACCCACAGCAUCACUGCAGGCCAACAGUGAUAGAGGCAGAGUGCUCAACAAGGUACUGGGAGGCCAGGAGGCUCCUCCAGCGGUUCCUCUCAGGAGUCAUCAGCAAGAAUUACCCAAAGCCCAAAACACACUUAACCAGACGACCCCAGCAGCCCAUCUCCGACCCCUUUGCCAAAGGGCCAAAAGUGCAACAAGGCCCAGUUCAUAUGCAGAAGGAAGUAUGCUGUGUGACCAUGAGACCGGAUAGCACUGUGGUGAAGAUAACAAAGUUGCCGAGGUUUCUGGGCUGAAACGUUUGUUGUCUCUUUAAACAUGCAAGCACCAUCUGUAUUUUUCUUUGCAGCUUAAUUAAUUGUGAUUGUUUGUGUUUGAAAUAAAACUAGAUUCUUGUUACAAUGUAA